rnacentral:rRNA from 1 species
UACAGAGGUCCCAAGCGUUGUUCGGAUUCACUGGGCGUAAAGGGUGCGUAGGUGGUCGGGUAAGUCCGAUGUGAAAUCCCCGGGCUUAACCUGGGAAUUGCAUUUCAAACUGGCCGACUAGAGUACGGUAGAGGGAGGUAGAAUUUCCUGUGUAGCGGUGAAAUGCGUAGAUAUAGGAAGGAAUACCAGUGGCGAAGGCGGCCUCCUGGAUCGAUACUGACGCUGAGGCGCGAAAGCGUGGGGAGCAAACAGG